AUUGAACGCUGGCGGCAGGCCUAACACAUGCAAGUCGGGCGGGUGGAGGUAGCUUGAUUCUCGGUUCAGCGGCUGACGGGUGAGUAAUGCCUAGGAAUCUGCCUGGUAGUGGGGGAUAACGCUGGGAAAAGGGCGCUAGUACCGCAUAAGUCCUGAGGGUGAGAGCGGGGGAUCUUCGGACCUCACGCUAUCAGAUGAGCCUAGGUCGGCUUAGCUAGUUGGUGGGGUAAAGGCCUACCAAGGCGACGAUCAGUAACUGGUCUGAGAGGAUGAUCAGUCACACUGGAACUGAGACACGGUCCAGACUCCUACGGGAGGCAGCAGUGGGGAAUAUUGGACAAGGGGCGAAAGCCUGAUCCAGCCAUGCCGCGUGUGUGAAGAAGGUCUUCGGAUUGUAAAGCACUAUAAGUUGGGAGGAAGGGCAGUAAGUUAAUAGCUUGCUGUUUUGACGUUACCAACAGAAUAAGCACCGGCUAACUUCGUG
rnacentral:rRNA from 1 species